rnacentral:rRNA from 1 species
AUUGAACGCUGGCGGAAUGCUUUACACAUGCCAGUCGAGCGGCAGCACGGGGGCAACCCUGGUGGCGAGCGGCGAACGGGUGAGUAAUACAUCGGAACAUGCCCAGUCGUGGGGGAUAACACUUCGAAAGAAGUGCUAAUACCGCAUACGUCCUGAGGGAGAAAGCGGGGGAUCGCAAGACCUCGCGCGAUUGGAGUGGCCGAUGUCAGAUUAGCUAGUUGGUGGGGUAAAGGCCUACCAAGGCAACGAUCUGUAGCUGGUCUGAGAGGAUGAUCAGCCACACUGGGACUGAGACACGGCCCAGACUCCUACGGGAGGCAGCAGUGGGGAAUUUUGGACAAUGGGGGCAACCCUGAUCCAGCCAUUCCGCGUGAGUGAAGAAGGCCUUCGGGUUGUAAAGCUCUUUCGGCAGGAACGAAACGGUGAGCUCUAACAUAGCUUGCUAAUGACGGUACCUGAAGAAGAAGCACCGGCUAACUACGUG